CCGNGGUAAUACGUANGUGGCAAGCGUUGUCCGGAUUUAUUGGGCGUAAAGCGAGCGCAGGCGGAAGAAUAAAGUCUGAUGUGAAAGCCNUCGGCUUAACCGAGGAACUGCAUCGGAAACUGUUUUUCUUGAGUGCAGAAGAGGAGAGUGGAACUCCCAUGUGUAGCGGUGGAAUGCGUAGAUAUAUGGAAGAACACCAGUGGCGAAGGCGGCUCUCUGGUCUGCAACUGACGCUGAGGCUCGAAAGCAUGGGUAGCGAACAGGAUUAGAUACCCUGGUAGUCCAUGCCGUAAACGAUGAGUGCUAAGUGUUGGGAGGUUUCCGCCUCUCAGUGCUGCAGCUAACGCAUUAAGCACUCCGCCUGGGGAGUACGACCGCAAGGUUGAAACUCAAAGGAAUUGACGGGGGCCCGCACAAGCGGUGGAGCAUGUGGUUUAAUUCGAAGCAACGCGAAGAACCUUACCAGGUCUUGACAUCUAGUGCCAUUUGUAGAGAUACAAAGUUCCCUUCGGGGACGCUAAGACAGGUGGUGCAUGGCUGUCGUCAGCUCGUGUCGUGAGAUGUUGGGUUAAGUCCCGCAACGAGCGCAACCCUUGUUAUUAGUUGCCAGCAUUAAGUUGGGCACUCUAAUGAGACUGCCGGUGACAAACCGGAGGAAGGUGGGGAUGACGUCAAGUCAUCAUGCCCCUUAUGACCUGGGCUACACACGUGCUACAAUGGGCAGUACAACGAGAAGCGAGCCUGCGAAGGCAAGCGAAUCUCUGAAAGCUGUUCUCAGUUCGGACUGCAGUCUGCAACUCGACUGCACGAAGCUGGAAUCGCUAGUAAUCGCGGAUCAGCACGCCGCGGUGAAUACGUUCCCGGGCCC
rnacentral:rRNA from 1 species